rnacentral:rRNA from 1 species
UGAGGAAUAUUGGACAAUGGGUGAGAGCCUGAUCCAGCCAUCCCGCGUGAAGGACUAAGGACCUAUGGUUCGUAAACUUCUUUUAUAUAGGAAUAAACCUACCCUCGUGAGGGUAGCUGAAGGUACUAUAUGAAUAAGCACCGGCUAACUCCGUGCCAGCAGCCGCGGUAAUACGGAGGGUGCGAGCGUUAUCCGGAUUUAUUGGGUUUAAAGGGUCCGUAGGCGGGCUAAUAAGUCAGUAGUGAAAUCUUGUCGCUUAACGAUAAAACUGCUAUUGAUACUGUUAGUCUUGAGUGUAUUUGAAGUGGCUGGAAUGAGUAGUGUAGCGGUGAAAUGCAUAGAUAUUACUCAGAACACCAAUUGCGAAGGCAGGUCACUAAGAUACAACUGACGCUGAGGGACGAAAGCGUGGGGAGCGAACA